GAGUCGGUAGUGUAGUUGGUUAGCACGCAUCCCGGAAAGGAUGAGAUGCGGAUUCGAUUUCCGUCUGACGCU